UCCUACGGGAGGCAGCAGUGGGGAAUAUUGGACAAUGGGCGAAAGCCUGAUCCAGCCAUGCCGCGUGUGUGAAGAAGGCCUUAGGGUUGUAAAGCACUUUAAGCAGGAAAGAAAAGCGCCGAGUUAAUAGCUCGAGCGUGUUGACGGUACCUGCAGAAUAAGCACCGGCUAACUCCGUGCCAGCAGCCGCGGUAAUACGGAGGGUGCAAGCGUUAAUCGGAAUUACUGGGCGUAAAGCGAGUGCAGGCGGUUGCGUAUGUCGGAUGUGAAAGCCCCGGGCUCAACCUGGGAAUUGCAUUCGAAACUGCGUAACUAGAAUAUGGUAGAGGAAGACGGAAUUCCACGUGUAGCGGUGAAAUGCGUAGAUAUGUGGAGGAACACCAAUGGCGAAGGCAGUCUUCUGGGCCAAUAUUGACGCUGAGGCUCGAAAGCGUGGGUAGCAAACAGGAUUAGAUACCCUGGUAGUCCACGCCGUAAACGAUGAGAACUAGACGUUGGGCGACAUAGUCGCUCAGUGUCACAGCAAACGCGUUAAGUUCUCCGCCUGGGGAGUACGGCCGCAAGGUUGAAACUCAAUGAAUUGACGG
rnacentral:rRNA from 1 species